UAUAUUGCAAUUACAGUUACUGCAAUAAAUUUUUGUGCAGUUAAAACUUUCUGCUUGAUUAUUAAACUCUGAUUGAAAAACUGGUUUAACAAGAGCUAAUGAGUCAGCUCUAGGCAAUAACCAUACUCACUAAUACAGCGCAGCGAAUAUUCCUGAAAGACAAGUUAUCUUGUCAAUUGCAGUGCAAGAGUUAAAUUGUGAUUUAAGAGAGAGCUUUUAUAUGAAGUCAAAACUUCAAAAGAAACUAAUCUAAAGAAAUAACUACUAACAGGUUUGCUUCUAAUUUCAUGCCAGUGUGGAUAGUUAGUUAUUAGGACUAGCAUCCUGCACUGGCACAUGAUUGGCAAAGAAUGUUUAAUAAAUUAUAUAUUUUUAGCAGAAGCAAGCAAAGAUUAUUUUUGACAGAAGCAAAAUUAGUUGCAAGUUCUAAGAUUGUUCAGCAAAGAAAGCUUGAAGCACAAAGAAGAUAAGAAACCGUUUAAUGAUAAAAUUACAUCAAUGCAGAAAGAAUCUGGAAAACAGAAUUUUAGUUAAAACGUCCAAUGUCUCGAUUAAAAAUUUUGCGAUGAAAAGAUUCAGGUGGAAGCGGUCAGUCGUCACCUUUGAAAGAAAGAUCAUCAGAGCCAUCUUUGGCGCAUUUCAAGAAAGGGGAUGCUGGCGAAUCAGAUAUAAUGUUGAGCUCUAUGGAUUCUAUUAGAAUUAUGUAAGAAGUGUACUAAAUUAAUAAAUUUUUUUAAAUGACCUUUAAUUGAAUUAAAUUAGGUUUUAUCAUUUACUGAAGCUCAUUCUUAUUACAAUACAAUUUUUUUAUUUUUAGGACCCAAUAUUUUCAGGUGUAAAAAUUUACGAAAAUCAUAUUACAUAAUGGAAUUGUCAAGAAAUGUAAAACAAUAAUAGAGUAAGUUUAU